UGCCAUUUUAUGAUUGAUUCCGCCCAUCUCCUAUCUCCGUCCUUUGUUCUUAGUCGCAUGUCCAUGUUCUCUUCUCAUGUUUCUUGUCCCUUUUCAUAACCUCCUUCAUCCAUGUUCCUUGUCUCUUGUUCCAAACUCCUCCUCCUCUUCCCCCUAUCCUUGUUUUCUAUCUUUUAUUCUUUGUCCUUUGUUCCAAAUUCCUCA
rnacentral:lncRNA from 1 species